rnacentral:rRNA from 1 species
UAAACGACUCUCGGCAACGGAUAUCUCGGCUCUCGCAUCGAUGAAGAACGUAGCGAAAUGCGAUACUUGGUGUGAAUUGCAGAAUCCCGUGAACCAUCGAGUCUUUGAACGCAAGUUGCGCCCCAAACCUUCUGGUCGAGGGCACGUCUGCCUGGGUGUCACAA